rnacentral:rRNA from 1 species
GACGAACGCUGGCGGCGUGCUUAACACAUGCAAGUCGAACGGAAAGGCCCUGCUUUUGUGGGGUGCUCGAGUGGCGAACGGGUGAGUAACACGUGAGUAACCUGCCCUUGACUUUGGGAUAACUUCAGGAAACUGGGGCUAAUACCGGAUAGGAGCUCCUGCUGCAUGGUGGGGGUUGGAAAGUUUCGGCGGUUGGGGAUGGACUCGCGGCUUAUCAGCUUGUUGGUGGGGUAGUGGCUUACCAAGGCUUUGACGGGUAGCCGGCCUGAGAGGGUGACCGGCCAACUUGGGACUGAGAUAAGGCCCCGAAUCCUAAGGGGGGCAGCAGUGGGGAAUAUUGCACAAUGGGCGGAAGCCUGAUGCAGCAACGCCGCGUGCGGGAUGACGGCCUUCGGGUUGUAAACCGCUUUCGCCUGUGACGAAGCGUGAGUGACGGUAAUGGGUAAAGAAGCACCGGCUAACUACGUG